AUUGAACGCUGGCGGCAGGCCUAACACAUGCAAGUCGAGCGGAUGACGGGAGCUUGCUCCCGGAUUCAGCGGCGGACGGGUGAGUAAUGCCUAGGAAUCUGCCUGGUAGUGGGGGACAACGUUUCGAAAGGAACGCUAAUACCGCAUACGUCCUACGGGAGAAAGCAGGGGACCUUCGGGCCUUGCGCUAUCAGAUGAGCCUAGGUCGGAUUAGCUAGUUGGUGAGGUAAUGGCUCACCAAGGCGACGAUCCGUAACUGGUCUGAGAGGAUGAUCAGUCACACUGGAACUGAGACACAGUCCAGACUCCUACGGGGGGCAGCAGUGGGGAAUAUUGGACGAUGGGCGAAAGCCUGAUCCAGCCACGCCGCGUGUGUGAAGAAGGUCUUCGGAUUGUAAAGCACUUUAAGUUGGGAGGAAGGGCAGUAAGCGAAUACCUUGCUGUUUUGACGUUACCGACAGAAUAAGCACCGGCUAACUCUGUGCCAGCCGCCGCCGUAAUAC
rnacentral:rRNA from 1 species